UACGGGGGGGGCAAGCGUUGUUCGGAAUUACUGGGCGUAAAGGGCUCGUAGGUGGCCAACUAAGUCAGACGUGAAAUCCCUCGGCUUAACUGGGGAACUGCGUCUGAUACUGGAUGGCUUGGAUUCGGGAGAGGAAUGCGGAAUUCCAGGUGUAGCGGUGAAAUGCGUAGAUAUCUGGAGGAACACCGGUGGCGAAGACGGCAUUCUGGACCGAUAUUGACGCUGAGGAGCGAAAGCCAGGGGAGCAAACGGG
rnacentral:rRNA from 1 species